rnacentral:rRNA from 1 species
AUGAACGCUGGCGGCGUGCCUAAUACCUGCAAGUCGAGCGAACAGACGAGGAGCUUGCUCCUCUGACGUUAGCGGCGGACGGGUGAGUAACACGUGGAUAACCUACCUAUAAGACUGGGAUAACUUCGGGAAACCGGAGCUAAUACCGGAUAAUAUAUUGAACCGCAUGGUUCAAUAGUAAAAGACGGUUUUGCUGUCACUUAUAGAUGGAUCCGCGCCGCAUUAGCUAGUUGGUAAGGUAACGGCUUACCAAGGCAACGAUGCGUAGCCGACCUGAGAGGGUGAUCGGCCACACUGGAACUGAGACACGGUCCAGACUCCUACGGGAGGCAGCAGUAGGGAAUCUUCCGCAAUGGGCGAAAGCUUGACGGAGCAACGCCGCGUGAGUGAUGAAGGUCUUCGGAUCGUAAAACUCUGUUAUUAGGGAAGAACAAAUGUGUAAGUAACUAUGCACGUCUUGACGGUACCUAAUCAGAAAGCCACGGCUAACUACGUG